rnacentral:rRNA from 1 species
UACGUAGGUGACAAGCGUUGUCCGGAUUUACUGGGCGUAAAGAGCGCGCAGGCGGUCGAUCAAGUCGAGUGUGAAAGCCCCUGGCUCAACUGGGGGAGGUCAAUGGAGACUUUAUGACUUGAGGGCAACAGAGGCAUGUGGAACUCCCGGUGUAGCGGUGGAAUGCGUAGAGAUCGGGAAGAACACCCGUGGCGAAGGCGACAUGCUGGGUUGCACCUGACGCUGAGUUGCGAAAGUGUGGGGAGCGAACAGG